UUGAUUCUCGCCGACGAACAUGU
rnacentral:siRNA from 1 species